rnacentral:piRNA from 1 species
UCUUGGCAAUAUGAUGGGAGGCUUAGGU